AUACGAAGGGGGCUAGCGUUGUUCGGAAUUACUGGGCGUAAAGCGCAUGUAGGCGGACAUUUAAGUCAGGGGUGAAAUCCCGGGGCUCAACCUCGGAACUGCCUUUGAUACUGGGUGUCUAGAGUGUGGAAGAGGUAAGUGGAAUUCCGAGUGUAGAGGUGAAAUUCGUAGAUAUUCGGAGGAACACCAGUGGCGUUUUAAGGCGGCUUACUGGUCCAUUACUGACGCUGAGGUGCGAAAGCGUGGGGAGC
rnacentral:rRNA from 1 species